rnacentral:rRNA from 1 species
CUACGGGGUGCAGCAGUGGGGAAUAUUGGACAAUGGGCGCAAGCCUGAUCCAGCAAUGCCGCGUGAGUGAAGACGGCCUUAGGGUUGUAAAACUCUUUCGCUAGGGAAGAUAAUGACUGUACCUAGUAAAGAAGUCCCGGCUAACUCCGUGCCAGCAGCCGCGGUAAUACGGAGGGGACUAGCGUUGUUCGGAAUUACUGGGCGUAAAGAGUUCGUAGGCGGACUGACAAGUUAGAGGUGAGAUCCCAGGGCUCAACCCUGGAACUGCCUUUAAAACUGUCAGUCUGGAGACCGGAAGAGGUUAGGGGAAUACCUAGUGUAGAGGUGAAAUUCGUAGAUAUUAGGUGGAACACCAGUGGCGAAGGCGCCUAACUGGUCCGGUACUGACGCUGAGGAACGAAAGCGUGGGGAGCAAACAGGAUUAGAUACCCGCGUAGUC